rnacentral:rRNA from 1 species
CUACGGGAGGCAGCAGUAGGGAAUCUUCCGCAAUGGGCGAAAGCCUGACGGAGCAACGCCGCGUGAGUGAUGAAGGUCUUCGGAUCGUAAAACUCUGUUAUUAGGGAAGAACAUAUGUGUAAGUAACUGUGCACAUCUUGACGGUACCUAAUCAAAAAGCCACGGCUAACUACGUGCCAGCAGCCGCGGUAAUACGUAGGUGGCAAGCGUUAUCCGGAAUUACUGGGCGUAAAGCGCGCGUAGGUGGUUUGUUAAGUCUGAUGUGAAAUCCCACGGCUCAACCGGGGAGGGUCAUUGGAAACUGGAAAACUUGAGUGCGGAAGAGGAAGGUGGAAUUCCAUGUGUAGCGGUGAAAUGCGCAGAGAUAUGGAGGAACACCAGUGGCGAAGGCGACUUUCUGGUCUGUAACUGACGCUGAUGUGCGAAAGCGUGGGGAUCAAACAGGAUUAGAUACCCUGGUAGUCC